rnacentral:rRNA from 1 species
CAAUAGCGUAUAUUAAAGUUGUUGCAGUUAAAAAGCUCGUAGUUGAACCUUGGGCCUGGCUGGCCGGUCCGCCUCACCGCGUGUACUGGUCCGGCCGGGCCUUUCCUUCUGGGGAACCUCAUGCCCUUCACUGGGCGUGUUGGGGAACCAGGACUUUUACUUUGAAAAAAUUAGAGUGUUCAAAGCAGGCCUUUGCUCGAAUACAUUAGCAUGGAAUAAUAGAAUAGGACGUGUGGUUCUAUUUUGUUGGUUUCUAGGACCGCCGUAAUGAUUAAUAGGGAUAGUCGGGGGCAUCAGUAUUCAAUCGUCAGAGGUGAAAUUCUUGGAUUGAUUGAAGACUAACUACUGCGAAAGCAUUUGCCAAGGAUGUUUUCAUUAAUCAGUGAACGAAAGUUAGGGGAUCGAAGACGAUCAGAUACCGUCGUAGUCUUAACCAUAAACUAUGCCGACUAGGGAUCGGACGGUGUUAGUAUUUUGACCCGUUCGGCACCUUACGAGAAGUCAAAGUUUUUGGGUUCUGGGGGGAGU